AUACGGAGGGUGCGAGCGUUAAUCGGAAUUACGGGGCGUAAAGCGUACGUAGGCGGUUGGUUAAGUUAGGUGUGAGAGCCCCGGGCUUAACCUGGGAACUGCAUUUAAAACUGGCGAACUAGAGUUGAGUAGAGGGGAGUGGAAUUUCAGGUGUAGCGGUGAAAUGCGUAGAGAUCUGAAGGAACACCAGUGGCGAAGGCGACUCCCUGGACUCGAACUGACGCUGAGGUACGAAAGCGUGGGUAGCAAACGGGAUUAGAAACCCGUGUAGUCC
rnacentral:rRNA from 1 species